rnacentral:rRNA from 1 species
UUCCAGACUCCUACGGGAGGCAGCAGUGGGGGAUAUUGCACAAUGGGGGGAACCCUGAUGCAGCGACGCCGCGUGGGUGAAGGAGUGCUUCGGCAUGUAAAGCCCUAUCGGCAGGGGAGAAGCAAGACGGUACCUGACUAAGAAGCCCCGGCUAACUACGUGCCAGCAGGCGCGGUAAUACGUAGGGGGCAAGCGUUAUCCGGAUUUACUGGGUGUAAAGGGGGCGCAGCCGGCAGCGCAAGCCAGGAGUGAAAGCCCGGGGGCCAACCCCGGGACUGCUCUUGGAACUGCCCGGCUGGAGUGCAGGAGGGGCAGGCGGAAUUCCUGGUGUAGCGGUGAAAUGCGUAGAUAUCAGGAGGAACACCGGUGGCGGAGGCGGCCUGCUGGACUGCGACUGACGUUGAGGCCCGAAAGCGUGGGGAGCAAACAGGAUUAGAUACCCCCGUAUGG